rnacentral:lncRNA from 1 species
ACAUCAACCUCUUGAAACAGUUAUUCUUUUGGGACCCGUAGCAUAUGUGUAGACAUGUGCACACAAAGAUAGAAGAUAUGCAAGUUCAUCAUGGAAGAAAGAAGGCAGACCAGCUCCAUGAACCAAGGUGCAGCUCCCAGCUCACUAUACUUGAGGCCACUGCAGUGCCACUUCACAUGGUGCAGGAGUAAACAUUGACCUUGCAGGUCUGAAAACAUCUGCCUUUAGUUAUUUCUCAUUUUGGAGAAAGAAGAUUUUGAAACUGAAGAUUUAAGUAAUUUGCCAGAGUCAGAAUGCUGUAAGCAUCAGAACUCGAUUUUCGAACUUAAGUUUAUCUGACUCAAAAGCUUUUGCCUUUCACCACCACCCUAUUGCUUCUAAAAUGUCAAACAUCGGCUGAACCACAGGACAGGUAUCCUAUAAAUGAGGAGGAUGUGGAUGCACCCCCAUGUGUACGUAAGGACACACGAGCUAAAGGCUUUACCUGACCCAGUAAAAGUGUCAAGCGCUCCAUCUCCAGUCGUGGCUGUGGUUUCACUGCUGUUCAAGGGCUCUGUUUUGACUGCAAGAAGAGACACUACGUAGAAGAAUAAGUACAUGUUUGGACAGCACACAGACGCCCCAAUGGCUUUAGGAACUGAAGACGGCGCUGUCUCCCUACUAGUGUCAGCUGCUUCUGCUGCGAAACUGGGUGAGUGUGUGCAUUCCACCUGCAGCACAUGGUCAGCCCAGGUUUUGAUGCCACUAUGAUAUUUAUAUGACAGAGAGCUGCCUGACUUCAUCAAAGUUCACAAAGCAUGUGGAUUAUUUUAGAGCGCCAGAGAUCCCAUUUUGACAGACGCAAUUCUUUGUUCCUAGUAUGGUUAGGAUCACUAAAAAUAAUGUCUUUGCAGCCAAAUACUUUCAAGCAGUUGGAGCCUGUUGAGUAUUGUGGUAUAAAUUAUAUUUUUAAAGUUCAACUGAAUAUGCUUUUUUAAAUGGCUACUUUCUUAAGGGACUGUAAGUCAUUCAAUAUUUUCAAAAUGCUUAUGAGCUCAAGAAACACUCACUGAAGCAAAAUAUAUGUCUGUUCCUGUUACAAUAGAGGCCCAGUGAACCUUGCCUAAAACUCUGGGAGAAUAAGUUCUUCAUGCAUUAAAGAAGCCUGGGUGGAUUGUAAUUUUCUUCCCUAAUCUUAAAGCGGGGCGAGGUAGGAACAACAAACAAAGUGUGGUGAAGACUUUAUAAAUAUAAACGUGAAAACAAAUGUCAUUUGCAGUUUCAAUUUUUAAAGAGUACAAAUAACUAUAAUUUUUCUGAUGAGAAAUAUAAUCUUUAUCUCAGCUUACACCAGGACACCAAAGUGUUCCUAGAAACAGAGAAAUGGUAUCCCUUUACUUUGUACCAUUAUAACCAAGUGGGAAAAUUGCAUAGAUGAUUUUUAAUAACAUUUUAUAAACAGAGAUGUCUAGGAUGCCCUUCUGGUUCCAGCAUACUGCCACCAAUUAAUUAUGUGACCUGGGAACAAACAUAGAGGUUUCCAUCUCAGAGUGCCAGUAUUUAUUUUUGAAUAUGAACCACACAUUCUGAAAGACUCCAUCUUCCAUAUAUAUUUUAUUUAACAAUAACGGUUUUCAUUACCCCAUGUUUAAAACCAAGCACAUAGCAAUCAUUCAAUGCUGCUAAUUAUUAUGACAUCCUGUAGGUACGAAUUAUUAAUAGUUAAUAAGAUAGCCAAAAUCAAAGGAACUGGAUAUUCUUAAAAACCAGUACAGCCUUACUAUGGGUAAAUUCUUAAUUUCCCUUGUUUUAAAAUGUUGAAAAUGGCACCCUGACCUCCAAAACCUCUAUACAGUGCUUUUGAGUCCAUCAAUCUAUGAGAGUCAGCCACACAUUCUGAUAAAAGUGAAGCUAUUAUGAACUAUUGACAGCUGAUAUAUUAAAUAGCAGUGACUUUCCCAUUGUCAGUACUACACUGGUAUUUGUUGGAUGCAUGAAUAUCCUUCAAAGUAAUAUGCGAAUCAAGAUUUAGUCAGUAAUGACACCUGUUAAGUUUGGUAGAAGUCUUGCCACAUAUAUACGUAUUUUUAAAAUCAAGAAAAUAAAUUAAUUACUGCAGUUUCAUGGGGUGCAUCCUUUACAUUUACUUUGUCUACUCCCUCUCCAUAACUCUUAGCACAAGGAAGCUGCUUACAUACUUCCUUUCUUCGUGUCUUCUACUCUUCUCAGCAUGAGUACACAUAAGUAGGCAGCAAGAAUCACAAAAAGUCUGAGAUUUUACCCUGCUUGUAAGCUAACACAGUAGCCUCAGUUGCACGGAUAUAGGAAGAAGACCCAAGGAUCCAGGUUAUGGGGGCACUUGGUGAGCAGUUUAGUAAGACUACUUGUCUAGUAAUCUAUCAAGCACCCUUCAUCUCCAAAGCUGUGAAAUACCUCCAGGUUCUUUUACAGCAUUUCUUGCCACUUUUCAUUACUGGCAAACUAACUAAAAGAACUUCCUGAAUGAUUCCAAGAAAUGACAUUUGACAUUAAGAGAUAAAACAGAGCCAACAUGGGAGAACAAAGAAAAAAACAAAAGCAUAGUCAUGUAAUUCUGAUAACUACUGGCAAGCAUUAGAGAACGAAGAAAAACAAUGUACAAUUUCUGUAUGUUCAAUAAGCCCCUAAAUUGCUACUUUGAAAAAGACCACAUGAAAUCAAAACUAAACAGCCACCACAGCUUCCUUAGCCAGGCUACUGAUGUGUUAUCUACAUAGAAUAUAAAAUCCAAAACCUAAGGGACUACUUUUAGUUAAACACUUAACAAAUCAUGUCCAUGCCACUGUAUAACAAAUACCACGUAGAAAUCAAUGCAAUCAUUUCAUUUGCCAUUUGCUUAACUGUCUUCCUUCUUUGCCUAUUAAGGCUGACAAACUCACAUACAUUCAGAAGCCAAGAUGGUUAUUUAAAAGAGAGAAGCAGGUCAAAUGGAGGUGGGGCUGUGGGCAAAUGCAUGAUCUGCCCCCAGUCAUUCAAACUCUACUGGAUAAUUCAUCUAGUGCCAUGCCUUAACUACUGUCUAUAUAGUGUAGGUUCCCAAAUUUUUAUCACCACCUGAGAUUCAUCCUCUUAGUUCUAAACUCUCUCACUCUCCUGCCUAACUUAUACCUCUACAUAAAUAAUCUCACAGCCAUAUGGAACUUGAACAUGUCCAGUGCUGAACUCUUUAUUAUUUCUCUACCAAUGCUAUAUUUACCGUCCAAAAUGUUUCAUUUAGGUAAAGCCGGAAACAGGAGUCACUGAGUCCUCCCUUUCCACAAACUCUAUAUCUAAAUUCAUCAUCAAUUGAAUUGAUGCAGGCUUCAAAAUAUGUCUCAAAUCUGUUCACUUCUCUUCAUCUCUUCAGCCACUUCUCUAGU